GUCCUGGGCUGGCUGUGUUCUCUCUGCCGACUGACUGCUAGCUGCGUGGAAGAUAGCCUGAAUGUAGAGAAAUUGGCCCUGCUCCUAGUUGGAGGGUGGACCAAAAAUGUUGGGGCCAUUUCCUGAGGUGUGGAGGGUGCUGAGCAGAAGCCGACCUUGAAGGGCAAGAAAUCAAGUCUGCAAUGCUGCAAGUAUGUUGGAAUUCAUGGAUAAAAUGAGCCAAGGCAAGGAACAUCUUACUGGUUUUUGAUAGGGGGGAAAACCUUCUCUCCCUCUACAUUGACUCACUGUCCACCCUGCACUCUGCCUCGGAAGCUGAUCCAUCUGGACUAUAUCAACAGAUUCCCUUGCCCCUUGCUUCUGAUUGGCUUGGCCAAUGGGAGAUCUGGCAAGAGAUCAAAGGAGGGACCUGGGUGAGAGAUGCUGAUGGAUAAACGGCUCUAAAAUCCAGCUCUUAUGAUUUACAAACCCAUGCUUUUUCCAUAAUUUGAUAUAAAAACAGAUUAACUACUAGCUAAAAAAGACAC